rnacentral:SRP_RNA from 1 species
GCUGAGCCCAAUAGCGUGGGCUUGUAACUUGAGCGAGGGCAAGGAGAGUGGUUGGAGUGUGGCAUGGGACUCUUGGGACUGCCACUCUUCAAUCGACCUGCCCUCUCUAAGCCAGGAGGCGGUCGGGCUUGUCUAGCCAAAGGGCUUGGUCGACUCAAUUCUAUAGUGGAGGGAAACCCAUGAGAUUGGCUUCAUAGAGCAGUGACUACCUAACCAAAGGGCUUGGUGGACCCAAUCCUAAUAAAUAUCAAAUAAAAAUAACAAC